UCUUCUCCAAUAUGGCAAGUCCAAGUGCAAACUAUAAAAGCAAAGCUACCGAAAGGGCCAGUUUCAGAAGCUUCUGAGUUGUGAAUAUCGUCCUCAAACCUCCUCAGCUCAAACGCUCAGCCCUCCAUGGACUCCGUUCUGUUUCCUCACCCUCUCUUCCCCCACAUAUUCAUCAGUUCAAGCUUUCCUCGCUCUCUUGCGGCUCCACAGAGUAUUGGGGUUGGGAUUGGGGUUGGGCUUUCCAGGCACAGGUGGUGUUCCACUUGCUGGGCUGUUGGGGUGUCUGGAGUUGGAGCUGGAAACGUCUUUGAUAAGAUUCCUCUCAAGGCAAAUGAAAAUGGGUCUGUGUUGGGUGCUCUUGAGGGGCCGACUUCAGCGCCAUUUGGGACACUGGAUGCUGAAAUUACCCCCGAAACCAUUGAUUUCUUCGUUAGCGAUGCUGAGGGUGAUCCUGACAGCCCAUCUGAGGGGUUCUCUUCCAUCGAGCAAGCUCUCAAUACACUGCGUCAAGGAAAGUUUGUGAUUGUAGUAGAUGAUGAAAUUGGGAAAGCUGAAGGGAACCUUGUCAUGGCUGCAUCUCUUACUAGUCCUCGGGACAUGGCAUUUAUGGUUAAGCAUGGGUCGGGAAUUGUGUCUGUAGGCAUGAAAGAGGAGCACCUUGAGAGACUGAAGCUCCCUCUAAUGUCACCUGACAGCGAAGAUAAAGAUUCUUCUGCUCCCACUUUCACAAUCACAGUGGACGCAAAAGCUGGAACUUCCACUGGAGUAUCAGCAUCAGACAGGGCAAAAACUGUUCUCGCUCUUUCAUCUCCUAUUUCUACACCACAAGACUUCAGAAGGCCAGGCCAUGUUUUUCCCCUCAAGUACCGAGAAGGCGGAGUUCUGAGAAGAGCUGGUCAUACCGAGGCUUCCGUAGAUUUGGUCAUGCUGGCGGGCUUGCAGCCAAUUUCUGUUCUUUCAGCUAUUGUUGAUGGAGAUGAUGGUUCUAUAGCCACUUUGCCCAGUUUAAGAAAGUUGGCCUUGGAGCACAGCAUCCCAAUGGUCUCAAUAACUGAUUUGAUCAGAUAUAGGAGAAAGAGGGAAAAACUGGUCGAAAGAACUGCUAUUUCCAGACUACCAACUAAAUGGGGUCUAUUUCAGGCUUACUGCUAUCGCUCAAAGCUAGAUGGAACAGAGCAUGUAGCCAUUGUAAAGGGAAGCAUUGGACAAGGGCAAGAUGUCCUAGUAAGAGUUCACUCAGAGUGUUUAACUGGGGACAUAUUCGGAUCAGCUCGAUGUGAUUGUGGCAACCAGUUGGAUUUGGCAAUGCAGUUAGUCGAGCAAGCCGGCAGAGGAGUUGUGGUCUAUCUCCGAGGUCAUGAAGGGAGGGGGAUUGGUCUUGGUCACAAACUUCGGGCCUAUAACUUACAAGACGAAGGUCAUGACACAGUUGAAGCCAAUCUAGAACUUGGGUUAGCAGUUGAUGCUCGUGAGUAUGGGAUUGGUGCCCAGAUCCUAAGAGAUAUAGGAGUAAGAACCAUGCAGCUAAUGACCAACAACCCUGCCAAGUUCACCGGUCUGAAGGGAUAUGGGUUAGCAGUUGUUGGGCGGGUUCCGGUGUUGACUCCCAUUACAGAGGAAAACAAGAAGUACCUGGAAACAAAACGCACCAAGAUGGGACAUAUCUAUGGGUCUGACAUAGAAUGACCUGUAAUAUAGACCACACCAAACCACCAAAGAGACAGAGCACCACUCUACAUGAGCUCUUUCUCUUCUCACACAAAGAGUUACAGCCACGUGAGCUUUUUUUUUUCAUUGAACAUGCCGUCCACUAUACCAACGGUCCGCAUCAGUCCGUGCCACCACGCGCCAACAUCUUGUAGCUCGAUUAGUACACCUGAUCCG